rnacentral:miRNA from 1 species
AAGUGGACAAAAGGGGAGUGG